rnacentral:rRNA from 1 species
UACAGAGGGUGCAAGCGUUAAUCUGAAUUACUGGGCGUAAAGCGCACGUAGGCGGUUAGUUAAGUUGGAUGUGAAAGCCCCGGGCUCAACCUGGGAAUUGCAUUCAAAACUGGCUAACUAGAGUAUGUGAGAGGGGGGUAGAAUUCCAAGUGUAGCGGUGAAAUGCGUAGAGAUUUGGAGGAAUACCAGUGGCGAAGGCGGCCCCCUGGCACAAUACUGACGCUGAGGUGCGAAAGCGUGGGGAGCAAACAGG